GAUGAACGCUGGCGGCGUGCCUAAUACAUGCAAGUCGAGCGAAUGGAUUGAGAGCUUGCUCUUAUGAAGUUAGCGGCGGUCGGGUGAGUAACACGUGGGUAACCUGCCCAUAAGACUGGGAUAACUCCGGGAAACCGGGGCUAAUACCGGAUAACAUUUUGAACCGCAUGGUUCGAAAUUGAAAGGCGGCUUCGGCUGUCACUUAUGGAUGGACCCGCGUCGCAUUAGCUAGUUGGUGAGGUAACGGCUCACCAAGGCAACGAUGCGUAGCCGACCUGAGAGGGUGAUCGGCCACACUGGGACUGAGACACGGCCCAGACUCCUACGGGAGGCAGCAGUAGGGAAUCUUCCGCAAUGGACGAAAGUCUGACGGAGCAACGCCGCGUGAGUGAUGAAGGCUUUCGGGUCGUAAAACUCUGUUGUUAGGGAAGAACAAGUGCUAGUUGAAUAAGCUGGCACCUUGACGGUACCUAACCAGAAAGCCCCGGCUAACUUCGUGCCAGCCGCCGCCGUAA
rnacentral:rRNA from 1 species